rnacentral:lncRNA from 1 species
UGGGACACCCUCUUGAUAUGGGAGGUUUUCUAUAUGAGCAACAAGGCGCGAGUUGUAGUCGUGGGCAAGAAGAGAUGGUCUCAAACCUGGCCAAUGUAUGAAUCUGCCUUGUGACGUUGAAGUUAUUACCAGUCCUUGGGCUGGACCAGAUAACGGUAUCUCUGGUGGAUAAACCGAGUCGGAGUCGUCAUCUUCAUUGUACCCGAGUUCGAGUUGAAUUCGAGUAAGAAAACCCUGGUGGACUUUGGCUAUAGUGCGGAGUCCAUGUAGAAACCGACUUGGAGUCGAAGC